rnacentral:rRNA from 1 species
UAGGGAAUCUUCGGCAAUGGACGGAAGUCUGACCGAGCAACGCCGCGUGAGUGAAGAAGGUUUUCGGAUCGUAAAGCUCUGUUGUAAGAGAAGAACGAGUGUGAGAGUGGAAAGUUCACACUGUGACGGUAUCUUACCAGAAAGGGACGGCUAACUACGUGCCAGCAGCCGCGGUAAUACGUAGGUCCCGAGCGUUGUCCGGAUUUAUUGGGCGUAAAGCGAGCGCAGGCGGUUAGAUAAGUCUGAAGUUAAAGGCUGUGGCUUAACCAUAGUACGCUUUGGAAACUGUUUAACUUGGGUGCAAGAGGGGGGAGUGGAAUUCCAUGUGUAGCGGUGAAAUGCGUAGAUAUAUGGAGGAACACCGGUGGCGAAAGCGGCUCUCUGGCUUGGAACUGACGCUGAGGCUCGAAAGCGUGGGGAGCAAACAGGAUUAGAUACCCUGGUAGUCCACGCUGUAAACGAUGAGUGCUAGGUGUUAGACCCUUUCCGGGGUUUAGUGCCGUAGCUAACGCAUUAAGCACUCCGCCUGGGGAGUACGACCGCAAGGUUG